AUUGUAUACGUCUUCCAUUCACAAUCCUAAACUAUCAUCAUCUUCAAGCUCUCUCUCUCUGCACUGCCCCAUAUUAUACAACAAGUUCUUGAAAAUCAAUUAAAAAAAACCCAUACAAAUACAUUAAUUCAAGAACCCAUUAAUCUUGAUGCUUAUUAAUUUCAGUUAAUGACCUAGGGCUUCAAUCUUUAGAAGAAAUGAAGGGCCUUCCAUUACCACCCACAACUUCUAUAAACACCUCUGACUUCAAAUUUAGUAGUCCAAUUUUUUCACACCCAAGAAGAUUAUCCACACUUUCUUUGCCUUUUAAGUCAAAGAGAUUCGUGCUUUAUGCAUCCAAAGAUGAGCCAAGUCUUAAUGAGUGGGACCAGAUGGAGCUUCAGUUUGGGAAGAUGAUUGGUGAAGACCCUAAACUUACUCUUGCCAAGAUAAUGGGCAAAAAGUAUGACCCUGAUAUUUCAGACUUGGAAAUUGAAAAAAUGUUUUACAAGAAGGGUGGUAAAGGAAUGACUUAUGAUAUAAGUGAGGUUACGUUUGACGUGCCUAAGAAAAGGCAGAUUCAGUCAUCAAGGUCACUGGAUGGACUGAAUUUAGUUCGGCCCAUGCCUAAGAAAGGAGUGAAAUUUGAAGUUGAUAAUAAGCCAAAUGUUUCUGGCUUAAAAAGACCAAGUUUACCAGCAGUUAGAGUGGUUAAUAGUACUAAAGUUCGCGCCCCUGAUGUUACUCUGCGGAAACCAUCUGUGUAUAGUGAGGAUGAUACAGGGACUAGCAAAGCAUCUACAUCGAAAAAUAGAUAUAGCAUGUCAAUAGAUAAAGGCAAAGGGAAAGUGAAUGUACAGGAUAAGUAUAGUGAUAUAACUUUGAUAAGGAAACCUGAGCUCCUUAGUUUUAAUGAAGAGAACAAACAAGUGUCUUCUGGUAAUGCUGAUGCAGAAGUUUCAAACAUUGUGGAGCAGAACAGUGUAAAAAAUAUACUAGAAUCUACAAAACAAAACAAUUUUGAACUUGUAGGAAAACCUCAGAUGUUGGAUAAUGAUAGUGAAGAAGAAAAACCCAAGGAUUACACCGAAUCAAGCUCUACAGAAAAUUUAUCUUCUGAAAUGAUACAUACAUCCAAAGUUAGCCCUGACCUGAACAAUCUUGCACUUGAAGAAAAACCUCAGAUUUUGGAUGAUGAUAGUGAACAAGGAAUUCUUGAAGAUUAUACCGGAUCAAGUUAUGUGAAAGUUUCAUCUGCUGAAAUGGUAAAAAAAUCAACUAUAACUCCAGACCAAAAGAAUCUUGCCCUUGUAGGAAAACCUCAAUUGCUGAAUAAUGACAGUGAGCAAGGAACCCAAGUGAAUCAUAUGGAAUCAAACUUUGGGAAUGAUCUAUCUUCCAAAAUGGUACACACAUCAAAAAUAAUUCCUGAGCAAUCUUUAGAAAGUGGUAAUGCCUCGCCCUUGAGUAGUGAUGGACAGCAAAGUGAAAGUUUAACAGAGUUACGGCCAUUUCAGCAAAAUGAUUUAGGAUCUGGCAUGAAAGUUGCUGUCACUGAAGCAUCUAAGACAAUCCCAGACAGUUCUAAAUUUGCAGAAGCUGUUCUCCAUAAACCAGAAAGAUUAAAGCAAUCUGAGAAACGAACUUCAGAGGUUACUAAAAAUGAGAAAAAUCUUGCGAACACUGAAAGUUAUGAUAGCACUAUUGGGCUUGAGAAGCUCCUUACACCGCCACCUCUGGAGGAACGUGAAGAUAUCGACUGGAAAAGAGCGGAAAAUCUAGUUAAGACUGGUGGCAGAGAGGAAGUGGAAGUGAUAAGCUCUAGCACUAGAGGUUUUGUUGUAUCAUUUGGCUCAAUAAUUGGAUUCCUACCUUAUCGAAAUCUUGCUGCCAAGCACAAGUUCUUGGCCGUUGAGUCUUGGUUAAGAAGGAGAGGUUUGGACCCAUCUUUGUACAAGCAAAAUCUUAGUAUCAUUGGAAGCUCUGAAAUUGCAACCAAGGCUUCUGCUCCUGUUUCGAGCUUAGAUGUCAACUUUGAACAUAAUGCUAAUGAAGAAAUUUCAUCCAGUAAUAAAAUUGAAGAUCUUCUCAAGAUUUAUGACCAAGAGAAGCUCAAGUUUUUGUCAUCAUUUGUUGGCCAGAAAUUCAAAGUAAAUGUACUACUAGCUGAAAGAAAAUCUAGAAGGCUAAUAUUGUCUGUGAAGCCAAAGGAGAAGGAAGAAUUAGUUGAGAAAAAAAGAAAGCUAAUGGCUAAAUUGAGCAUUGGAGACGUAGUGAAAUGUUGCAUAAAAAAGAUUACAUACUUUGGUAUAUUUGUUGAGGUUGAAGGAGUCCCUGCUCUGAUUCACCAGACAGAAGUGUCUUGGGAUGCAACUCUGGACCCUGCGUCAUAUUUUAAAGUCGGCGAGAUUGUUGAGGCAAAAGUUCACCAAAUAGACUUUGCAGCAGAACGCAUUUUUCUGUCCUUGAAGGAUAUAGUGCCAGAUCCAAUGAUUGAGGCCAUGGAAGCUGUAGUUGGUAAUCAUGAUUCCAUGGGCGGGGAAUUGGCAGCAGCAGAAGCAGACAAAGAGUGGGCUGAUGUUGAAUCACUAAUAAAAGAAUUAGAGCAAUUUGAAGGAAUCCAAGCUGUGUCAAAAGGCCGCUUUUUCUUGAGCCCUGGUUUGGCCCCAGCAUUUCAGGUUUAUAUGGCUUCCAUGUUUGAAAAUAGAUACAAAUUGCUUGCGAGAGCAGGCAACAGAGUACAAGAGGUAAUCGUGGAAACAACACUGGGGAAAGAAGAGAUUAAAUCAGCAAUUUUAGCAUGUACCAACAAAGUCAAGUAACUGUUACCUGAGUUGAGGCCUGUUUUAAAUGUAAGUAGCAGGCCCCAGGUUUAUCAUCUUUGCAGAGUCGGACUCACAAGUUCUCCUCUAUUUUGAACUUUACAGGUCGGACUCACAAGUUCUCCUCCCUCUCCAGCUCUCCCCAGUCCCCAGAUAAACAUAACAAUACUAGGCUACUAGCAGAGGUGACUAGGUCUGAAGUUUGAAUCACUCAGAUCUUUAAAGAAAAGGUCAUUCAAACGGUCAUGUUCCGUGAUGAGAUUAAUUGUGAAAUUGAAUCUCGACAACCACACAUCAAUACGGAAUCUACAUGCAUUAUAGUGAAAUGUCUCAUCCAACUGAAAUUUUUUUGUCAUUCACUUUGAAAUGCUUGCAUUGAAGAGUACAACUAUGGCAUGCUAAAGAAACAAAUUAUUUAUUUAUAUUUUAAGAAAAUUUAAGAUUCCAAAAUUAUAUUCGAA